rnacentral:lncRNA from 1 species
UUUUUUUUUUUUUUCUGAGACAGAGUCUGGCUCUUUUGCCCAGACUGGAGUACAAUGGCACAAUCUCAGCUCACUGCAACCUCCACCUCCCGGGUUCCAGCGAUUCUCAGGCCUCAGCCUCCUGAGUAGUUGGGAUUACAGGUGUGUGCCACCACACCUGGCUAAUUUUUGUAUGUUUAGUAGAGGCAGGGUUUUGCCAUGUUGGCCAGGAUGGUCUCAAACUCCUGACAUCAAGUGAUCCGCCAGCCUUGGCCUCUCAAAGUGCUGGGAUUACAGGCGUGAGCCACCAUGCCCAGCCCACAUUUAUUCUUUCAACAGUGCUUCGAGGUAGGGGAUAUUUAUCCCCUCUUCACAGAUAAAAAAACAGAAGCUCAGAGAGGUUAGCAUGACCAAGGUCACACAGCCAGCAAACGGCAGGACUCAGAUUCUCUGAUAACUCCUGGCACAGGGGGUCUCUUCCAUCAGUGCUCCCCACCUGACCCCCGGUCCUCCCUGCCACCUUUCCCAGGGCGGGUGCAGGGGGCUGAGGGUGCCACGCCCAGCUGGCAGGAGAUGCAGCAGCUCUGCCUGCCCCUGAAGGACCCAACUGCGAAUCAGCAGCCUGGUAUCCAGGCAACCAGCCUCCCUGGCUUCAGAUAAGCAGAAACAGCUGGGAGUUGCUGAGGCUGGAACACCAUCAGGGGAGGGAGGAGGAGCCCACCAGCCAAUCAGCGUGUUAUUGUGACACGCUGUUAUUCUUACCCUCCCAGACCUUGGCUUGACUGGGGCCUUUCCCCCAAAUUUAUCCUUACCACUGCCACAGGGGAGGGGUCUCCAGGGGUUCCACCUAGCCCUGAGCCUGGCACAAUUGAGGGGACAUAAGGGGAGAAAUGUUGGCGGUCCCUCUUUCCGUGAGCAAGGGAGAAAAGGAAAGUUGGCCAAAGGCUGCCAAGAUUAAGAGUCUCUGGGGUGAGUUGACAAGCAGAAGUAGUUGAGUUUCACCUUUUGGAGCCUCCAGGCCUCAACGAGAGGUUUUCCUCCCCACUAUACCAGGCCAGCUGAGUACAGGUUCAGCUGGAUAACCCCACCCAACACCUAUGAUGGAAACAGCAACUGGGCCAUGGGUGAGGGAAGCCAUGUGGACAUAUGGACUGUCAGACAAGCAAGAUCUGGCUCAGCCCCAGCUCUGCUGAUGACAAGGUUGGCCACGCCUCUCUGAGCCUCAGUUUCCUCAUCUGUAAAAUGGAGACAAUCAUACGUACCCUGCUGGCUGGAGGUGGAAAAUAAGGGAGGAAGGCCUGUGAAAUGCCAGGCAUCGUGUCUGACACAGUGGGUACUAACAUGGUUCUCCUCCCCUCCUCGUGUCAGGGCCUGCCCUGCCUGGCCUGGCCACCUCUCCCACACAGGAUUCUGAACUCUCCGGGGCUAUUUCUGUCUCUUCCUCUAAAGGUCAGUGCCUUUCCUGGGAUAUGGCAGCUGCUGCCUCUUUUCCACCUCUAAGUGGCAUUAAUCCCAUGUCAGGGGGACAGUGGUUGCCCCAGAUGGCUUUCCCCAUCCCC